rnacentral:rRNA from 1 species
AUACGGAGGGGGCGAGCGUUGUUCGGAUUUACUGGGCGUAAAGCGCGCGUAGGCGGCUCUGUCAGUCGGAUGAGAAAGCCCCGGGCUUAACCUGGGAAUUGCAUUCGAUACUGCAGAGCUAGAGUAUGGUAGAGGGAAGUGGAAUUUCCGGUGUAGCGGUGAAAUGCGUAGAUAUCGGAAGGAACACCAGUGGCGAAGGCGACUUCCUGGGCCAAUACUGACGCUGAGGUGCGAAAGCGUGGGGAGCAAACAGGAUUAGAUACCCCGGUAGUCC